rnacentral:rRNA from 1 species
AUAGUAUUUUUGAAUCGCAUGAUUUGAUUAUUAAAGUUCCAACGGUAAAAGAUGAGUAUGCGUCCCAUUAGCUAGAUGGUAAGGUAACGGCUUACCAUGGCUACGAUGGGUAGGGGUCCUGAGAGGGAGAUCCCCCACACUGGUACUGAGACACGGACCAGACUCCUACGGGAGGCAGCAGUGAGGAAUAUUGGACAAUGGGCGCAAGCCUGACCCAGCCAUGCCGCGUGCAGGAAGAAGGUCCUAUGGAUUGUAAACUGCUUUUUAUACAAGAAGAAACACUCCCUCGUGAGGGAACUUGACGGUACUGUAUGAAUAAGGACCGGCUAACUCCGUG